ACAUACGACCACAGACUGAGGAGAAUUGGGCAUCCCGUCCGCUCUGCCAUACACAAGCCUCAGAUCGGUAGAUUAGUAGUUGGGUGGGUGACCACCAGCGAAUCCCUACUGUUGUAUGUU
rnacentral:rRNA from 1 species